UUGACACGUUCAAUCGAG
rnacentral:snRNA from 1 species